rnacentral:sRNA from 12 species
AGUUUAGAUUGUCGAUGAAAAACGGUAGGGUCUAAACGGUAAUUGCCGAUACUAUGGUUAGUGCGUUGGAGAUCGGAAAGGGAUGGCGAAGACAGAAUCCCUCGCAUGAAAAGUCUGUCGGGU